CCCUGGAGUCCCGCCGUAAACGUGUCGAUUGGAGGCCGUCCCUUGAGGAGCGGUUCCGGAGCUAACGCGUUAAGUCGACCGCCUGGGGAGUACGGCCGCAAGGUUAAAACUCAAAUGAAUCGACGGGGGCCCGCACAAGCGGUGGAGCAUGUGGUUUAAUUCGAUGCAACGCGAAGAACCUUACCUACUCUUGACAUCCAGAGAACUUGGCAGAGAUGCCUAGGUGCCUUCGGGAACUCUGAGACAGGUGCUGCAUGGCUGUCGUCAGCUCGUGUUGUGAAAUGUUGGGUUAAGUCCCGCAACGAGCGCAACCCUUAUCCUUUGUUGCCAGCGAUUCGGUCGGGAACUCAAAGGAGACUGCCGGUGAUAAACCGGAGGAAGGUGGGGAUGACGUCAAGUCAUCAUGGCCCUUACGAGUAGGGCUACACACGUGCUACAAUGGCGCACACAAAGAGAAGCGACCUCGCGAGAGCAAGCGGACCUCAUAAAGUGCGUCGUAGUCCGGAUCGGAGUCUGCAACUCGACUCCGUGAAGUCGGAAUCGCUAGUAAUCGUGGAUCAGAAUGCCACGGUGAAUACGUUCCCGGGCCUUGUACACACCGCCCGUCACACCAUGGGGAGUGGGUUGCAAAAGAAGUAGGUAGCUUAACCUCCGGGAGGGCGCUUACCACUUUGUGAUUCAUGACUGGGGGUGAAGUCGUAACAAGGUAGCC
rnacentral:rRNA from 1 species